GCCUGGCUGGCUUAGUCAAGAGAGCAUGAGACUCUUGAUCUUGAGGUCAUGAGUUCAAGCCCCAUGUUGGGUG
rnacentral:tRNA from 1 species